AAAUAGCCCCGAUGGGAGCAAGUAUCCUUUUUAUAAAUGUAACCCGAUAGGGUUGCGUUUAUAAAAAGAUACUGUGGACAGCGGGACAACUC
rnacentral:sRNA from 1 species